GACGAUUCUGGAUUUUGCUGGAUGUGCAAAAUACCGCCUUGUAAGCGGUAGGUCGUCAGUUCGAAUCCGACAAGCGCACCA
rnacentral:tRNA from 1 species